rnacentral:lncRNA from 1 species
AUCUUUCUCUGAAUGCCGGUGCAGGGAAGGGCAAUUGGAGGCAGACACAUCUAGGAACAACACAUCGAGAAUCUACGUACCAAGACACCUCUGUUAUGCAUCGGCGAUCCGGGACAAAGUCAGAGGCGCAUUACUGUUUGGGGCUCCUGAUCUCGAGCUUUCUCUCGGGGUAGAGAAUGGUGAGGGAAGUUAGCAUGAGAGUGUUGUAAAAGGGAUCUUACUGACCAAAUUGCUGACCAAAAUUGUCCAGGCAAUCCACCUCUUCACUCUUGCGGACAAAGAUCUCUAGGGCAGUCGCGGAAUGAUUCUCCGUUGUCGCCUCUCGUAAUAGACUUGGUUCGUGUGAUGCAUUUGCCCUCUACUGCGAGCAUUCUCUCCCAAGCUCGAAAGUCUGCCAGGCUCGAUCGAAUUACCGUUGAGCAUAGGGAAUGUUUCUUCCAUACUCACCAAAGAGGAG